GUUCCUCGCCACUGUUCAUUCAACUGUUCAUUUAACAGUGAAAUGACGUUUUUGCCCUCGAGCUGUAUGCGGAGAGAAAAAGGCCCGAGUUUUCUUUUGUGUUCUAGAAGCCUACAUCGACUACAAGCUUCGUUCCAUUUUCGGUUUUGUUCUCGGAUACAGACGCGGUGUGAAACGGAGUUAUCAAGCGUAUCGAUCAAGCUCUCAGAUAUAAAGGUCGCUGGGGUAGCAGAGAGAAGGGGAGAGAUCCAAGAUUUUCGUCCAAGCUUCGGGUCAUUGCGGUGGCAAAAAGAAGGGGAGGGAUCGAAGAUUGUGGUCGACUUCCGGAGGAAGGUUGAAAAAGAGUGGGGGCGUUUCUCAGUUCGUGUAUAGUGUGUGCUUAAUCUAGAAGUUGUACAUAUUGAAGGAGCGGAGAUUUGCUUAAGAAUCAUAAGCAGUUGUGUCUUUGAAGGGCUGGUUGGAUAUCUCUGCGAGGUAGGCUUGGGUUCGUUUUGGAAGAGGUGUGUGCUGAGAUUGUGAUCGAGUUUAGGAGACGGGCUUUGGGAGCAAAAGAGGGUGCAGUGGAGAAACUUCGCCAAUGCUGCCUUGAAGAAAUUUGAGAUUACAAGCAUGGUGGAAAAGACCACUAAAGAAGCCUCCUAGACCGACUUUUUUGCUCUCUCCCCUGCUUUCUAAACAGCCUCCCUCAGACGACUAAAUCGGCGGAAAGAGAGAGUGAAAGUUGGAUCUGCUGCUGUUGGUUACAGAGGUUGGGUUGAAAACGAGUACGAAAUCUCACCGUCUACGAGUACGACAUCUGGGUUCAGAGUUGAAGCUAUUAACUUGCUUCUUUCAUUAGUUAAUCUAACGAGUUGUUAGGUCUCGCCUUUGCAGAUUUUAUGCAAAAAAGUAUUGGUACCGUCUUUCUGCUGCUGUUCCAUUGUCUGUUACUCAGUAUUAUCUUGCUUUCCCAUUUUGAUUCAGAUUUUGGGAACAGUUUGCAGUCAUAUUCCUUGAAUCUUUUGGAUCCAGAUCUCUGCAUUUGGAAUUUAUCCAUGAUCAAUAUUUUGUAACUGCGGCAUUUAUUGAUUGUAUUGGGUUUGCUUGGGCUUUCAAAAAGAGUGUGUAAUGCCAAGAGGUAUAUGUAAGGGUAGGAGCAGCUCAAGUUUAGAAAAUUAGUAAAUAUUCAAUUUAAGGGCAAUGAACUCGAAACUUUCCGGAUCCCAAGUUGACAUGCUAAGGUACAACAUACUAAAAUUUCAAGCAAAUUGGAGUUCAGCAAACAUGGCAAAAGAUGGAUGGAAACAGACUGAAUUGUGCAGUUUUCUUCAGAGUUUUUGUAGCAACCUGGAAUGUAAGAGGGAAAUCUCUCCAUAGUGACCUUAAUCUGCACGAUUUUCUGCAGCUUGAUAAUCCAUCAGACAUAUAUGUCUUGGGCUGACUUCGAUAAGAUUGGACAAGGUGGUUUUGGGGCUGUUUACUAUGCCGAGCUGACAAGCAAGUUAUUCCCCCAACACAGAGAAAGGGACGAGACGAAACAAAAAGAGAGAGAGAGAGAGACAAGAGAACAGGCAAGAACGAAAAGAAGGAGAAGAGAGAGACGGGAAGCUCUUGCUUAGAUUGCUACUUUGUCUAUGUAAUUUUGCUGAUGGAGAUCUUCAACAUCAGUGGUUAUUUGUUUGGAACAAAUAAACACUACAGACUGAAAGCACACCGGAAGAUCACAUGAUGAUAGUUACUGAUGUUGGAUUUAGAACAAAUCUCCUGAACAGAAUAAGGACAAGUAUGAUCGUAGAGUUCUACGAGUUCAGAGUCGAUGAGUAAAAUAGAGGCAAUGUUUGAAGCUGAACUUGAGAGGUUAGGGCUAAACAGCAGUACUUCUACUUUGGAGCGAAGAUUAAUUUGAGAGCCAUAACAUCAACAACUAGAACUUGCCUGGUGGCUCCAAAUGAUCACAGAACACUAAGCCUAGAUGCUUUACAAAAGAAUGCACCAACUGUGUAGAACAGACUGCUGCUGUUUGAUUUGUAGCACCAUCGAGGUGGAAGCAGCUUCUCAGGAUUAUGCUCAUGUCAAAGCGUCCUAAAAUCCCCCCUUCUGGCCCAAGCCACAGGACCAACAAGACACCUAAUCCCUCGAGAGAUUACUAAACACUUCUAUUAUUUGUAUACAGAGAGCAGCAUUUCCAACUGAAGUUUGGUUGAAUUUUUUGGCUAACUUCUUCAUGUGUUUCUGAUUUUGUUUGAUGGGUUUGAUUAUUCUUCUAUCGUUUCUUGAACGACUAUAUUCCCGCAGCAAAGCGCGGGUACGCUUUCUAGUACUACUGAAAAGUGGGGUAAACAGACAAUAUCCGAGUUUGGAUUGUCCCAUUCUUUGAUUAUAAGUUUAUGAUAGCCCUACAUAAAAGAUAAUUGCCCAACUUACCAAAUUGUGGAUAAAUGGGCACCAGCGGUAAAUGAGGAGACCCCAAGUUUGCCAUCCAAUUCCUUCUGCCCAAAUUGUGGAACUGGAAUGGAAAAGGAGAAAAAUCAGAAGCAGACUCAGACUACUGAGUUCAACUUUGGAGUCUUGGAUGGUCAUAAGCCAAUGUUGACUGCUGCAAGUAGAAUUGCCAUUUCAAAGCAAUUACAGUGUCAAGUAUUGUUUCUUUGUGUUUCCAUUGUUAGUUUUCCGUGACUAGGAUAAAAAUAGAUUGUGUUAUCUGCUCUGAAUCUUUGAAAAACCGGUAUUCUAUGGCAUUAAAAGGAUUAGGACAGCCAUAUGGCAAUAAAACCUAAAACACCAUUGAUAUUUUGAUACCUCAAAACAAAUCUUGUAAGGAUUUGAU